rnacentral:lncRNA from 1 species
AAAGUUAUAAAAAAAAUUAAAGAUGACUAUCUGGAUUUAGCAUAAACUGAAAAUUUGAGCUUUUUCUUAAACCUUGUUAUUAAAUCCGUAAGAAUGACAGACAUACACCAAACUACCAAUCAACGUGGCAUUCUGUAAGUUCAAUAUAUAAAUGAAAAGGCUGUAUAGUUUUAUGAAAAUCCAGGUUGAUUUAAAAAAGUUAUAAAAAACAUU